rnacentral:sRNA from 1 species
CUUUUUUUCCCACAUAUCGUGUC